AGCGAACGCUGGCGGCAGGCCUAACACAUGCAAGUCGAACGAAGUCUUCGGACUUAGUGGCGGACGGGUGAGUAACACGUGGGAACGUACCUUUCGGUUCGGAACAACUCAGGGAAACUUGAGCUAAUACCGGAUGAGCCCUUAGGGGGAAAGAUUUAUCGCCGAAAGAGCGGCCCGCGUUAGAUUAGCUAGUUGGUGAGGUAAAGGCUCACCAAGGCUACUAUCUAUAGCUGGUCUGAGAGGAUGAUCAGCCACACUGGGACUGAGACACGGCCAAGACUCCUACGGGAGGGAGCAGGGUGGGAUCUUGCGCAAUUGGCGAAAGCCUGACGCAACCAUGCCGCGUGAAUGAUGAAGGUCUUAGGAUUGUAAAAUUCUUUUACAAGGGACGAUAAUGACGGUACCUGGAGAAAAAGCCCCGGCUAACUUCGUGCCAGCCGCCGCAGUAAAAC
rnacentral:rRNA from 1 species